CAAGUCAACUGACUGGAGGUGUUAUGGCGGUGCCCAUAUGCUAGAGAUGGUGGGAAAACAUCGGGGUACAUGCUGGAGAGAGUCUCUGCACAUUGCAGGCAAUCAUGGAACAUGCUGCCAGGCUGAGGAUGUGACCUCCGGAGGCCAGCGCAUCAGAGCAUCAGCCUGGAUUGUGUUUGAAGAUCGCUUCAUUAAAUGUAAGUGGAGUGGAGAGGUGCAGCAAGAAGUCAGACGUCGGAUCCAGACAUGAUACUCGACAGGAGAAAUUUGUAUAUUCCGCUUGUUCAUGACAAGUAUUGCCAGAAUUACCAAGUCACUUCCAUUCUGUUUGAAGUCAAUAAAGUGAUCUUGUAAAUGUA